GGAUGCAGGAGGGAUGCAGGACGGAUGCAGGAGGGAUGGAGGACGAAUGCAGGAGGGUUGCAGGAGGGCUGCAGGAGGGAUGCAGGACGAAUGCAGGAGGGAUGCAGGACGAAUGCAGGAUGAAUGCAGGAGGGAUGGAGGACGAAUGCAGGAUGAAUGCAGGAGGGAUGGAGGACGAAUGCAGGAGGGUUGCAGGAGGGCUGCAGGAGGGAUGCAGGAUGCUCAGCCCACCCACCCUGACUGCCCCCGCUGCUCUCCCGGAGCUCAGCUCAUCUCUCAUCGCUCCCAGGGCGCCGAGGGAGGAGCGGAGCUGGGGAAAGGCCGUGGGGCAGGCUGAGGAGGAAGAGGAUUUGCACAGGGAGAGCAAAAGGGGUUUUCUCCUUUCAGAAAUUUCCAAACCGGUCCGCUCUCCUGUCGCCGCUUCCCUCCGGGGAUGCUUUCCAGGCUCACGCCUUUCCUGUUGCACCUGAGUCAGGCAUUCCCUCCCUUCCAGCGGCUCCGGGCGGGCGCGGACCUGUCCCGGCCUCUCCAGGGAUCUGUCCCUGCCUCUCCAGGGACCCUUCCCGGCCUCUCCAGGGAUCUGUCCCUGCCUUCCAGGGACCCUUCCCGGCCUCUCCAGGGAUCUGUCCCCUCCAGGGAUCUGUCCCCUCCAGGGAUCUGUCCCCUCCAGGGAUCUGUCCCGGCCUUCCAGGGACCCUUCCCGGCCUCUCCACAGACCCAUCCCGGCCUCUCCAGGGACCCCUCCCGGCCUCUCCACAGACCUGUCCCGGCCUCUCCACAGACCCAUCCCGGCCUCUCCACGGACCCCUCCCGGCCUCUCCACAGACCUGUCCCGGCCUCUCCACAGACCUGUCCCGGCCUCUCCACAGACCUGUCCCAGCCUCUCCACAGACCCUUCCCGGCCUCUCCACAGACCUGUCCCGGCCUCUCCACAGACCCUUCCCGGCCUCUCCACAGACCUGUCCCGGUCCCCGCACGCCUUUUCCGAGACCCAAAGCCCUUCCCACUGAGGGGAUGCAGCCCUGGGGAUGCGGCAGGUGAGCUCUCACCUCCCUCUGAGGGCUGGCAGGAAGGUGCAAUGUGGAUGUGAGAAGUGAGCAGGAGGGAGACACUGCCCUGCUCACCCCAGCACUGAAAGUCCGCAAUUCGGGAAUUAUUUGUGUUUUAUCCUCAGUGAAAUUCGGGAAUCUGCAAUGUAGGGAUAAUUUGUGUUUAUCCUCAGUGAGACUCGGUGUCUGCCAGCUAAGCCAGCCUGCCAUUGCCACCUCUUCAUAAUUACAGCUUCCUACACUGCUUUAUCUGUGGAAUAUUCAGCUUUUCCCACCCUUUCUGUGCCUGUCUGGGUGGGCUUUCUUGUGAUAUCCCACAGACCCUGAGUUCCCCAGUCUGCUGAAAGCCACUGGAUUCUUUAUUGAUCAUGCAUACAAACACUCCAGACGUGUCUGGCCUGCAGGUGCUGCCCUCAGGUCGGGAAAGCUUAGGGAAAUCAAAAGCAUCAGAUGCUGUUCUAAAGGGUUUUCCAGCUGCCUUUAAAAGAAAAUGGGAUUUUUUUUUUUUUCACAAUGCUCCUUCUGGCCAGUGAGAGCCCAGUGUAGGAACUGGGGCUGCUGGUGGGACGAGCCACUCGAGUUCCUGCUGUUUCCCAGCCCAACCUCCUCACUCAGACCUGCACUUCCAGCCCCCUUGGGAAUCAAACCAUUCCUCCUAAAUCACCACUCAAAGCUGAAUUUAAGCAAAAAGAAAAAAAAAAGGUCAAGUUAUAGCAAACUGUGGGAUCAAUGAAUUGUGAAGUGAUUCUCAAGGUAGAGGCAGUCCCAGGUGCUGCCACCUGCCCCUCAGACCCGGUCCUGGCUGGGGGACACGUCCAGGACUGCGCUGUCCCCACCGGAGCUGCGCUGGGCGAUGCUGUCGGAGGUGACGAGGAAGGAGGAGUAGGCGAGGUCAGCGUCCUCCUUGGAGCUCUGGGAAGGACAGGAGCACAGUCAGGGGAUGGGCAGCAGGGGAAAGGCAGCAUUUUGGGGAUAUCCCAGGGUGACACAGGGACACUGGGGGAGUGGGAUGAUCCAGCUGAUGUGAGCAUCAUCCUGGGAGGAUCCCAAAAGCCUUUAGGUUUGGGAUUCCUUGGCAAGCCUGGGUGCUGGCAUCCACUCCCAUGUCCUAAAACUGCUGGGCUUUCUUUACUGAUCACUCCAGUUCAGCUCCUGGCACUGACAACACCUACACCUCUCCUGUUGGUAGGGACUUUGAAAGUCCCUACAGGCUUGAAUCUGGCACCUGCAGCUACUGCCAAAUGGUGCCACUGGACCAUGAUCCUACCCGAGGGGAGGGGAGGCAGAGAAAAUUAGAGAAAGGCAGAUAAAAGAAAAAAAAAACAUAAAUAAAAUUAGCCCCUGCAAUGGCCGAGCCCUCCCU
rnacentral:lncRNA from 1 species